UAGAUAUGCUGAUAUUGAUGUUGGAUUUCAUUAUGUGCCGACUGAAUUUGAGUGGAGUCAAGUGGAAGAUGUUUGCCAGUUUUUAGGAGUUUUUCAUGAGAUUACAAAUAUGAUUUAUGGAUCUGAAUAUCCAACGGCUAAUAUUUUCCUCCCUAAAUUGUAUCGGAUUAAAGAGCUUCUUAAUGAGAAAUGCACGCAUCAUUCUUCUCAUAUGAGGUCUAUGGAUUAAGAAUGGAAGAGAAAUUUGACAAGUAUUGGGGAGAAAUAAAUGUGUUGAUAUCUUUGUGUGCUAUUUUAGAUCCAAGAUAGAAAAUGGAGCUUAUUGAUUUUGCUUUUCCAACAAUUUAUGGUGAGGAUGAAACUUCAAUUUACGUGGGUGAGAUCAAGAAGAUUUUGUAUGAUCUUUAUGAUGAGUAUGUCACGAGUUACACUCUGAAGAGAGGCCUCCGAUUGUAUCGAAACGUAAACAUUCUGAAAUUGGAGGGUCUUCAACUUCUAACUUGGGAUCUAGUGGGGUUGGAAGUGAAGUUUUAAUCGGAAAAGCAAAGUUUCAUAUGCACGUGAGUAAGUCUAAUAAAGCCCCGCCACAAAAAUCUGAUUUGGAUGUUUAUUUGAGUGAAAGUAUAUAUGAUUGUGAUGCCAAUGCAAACCUGGAUGUUUUAGGUUGGUGGAAAAGAGAAAGAUUGAGGUUUCAAGUAUUGGCAAGGAUGGCAAGUGAUAUAUUAUAUAUUCUUCUAACCACAGUGGUCUCUGAGUCUACGUUUAGCGCCGGUGGUAGAGUUAUUGAUGAUCGUCGGGUUUCUAUGUCAGUUGAUACGGUGCAAAUGUUACUUUGUGGCAAUGAUUGAUUAGAAAUUUGCAUGGUCUUAAGAAAUACUCCUUAAAAAAGAGUUGGAUGCUAAAGAGUUUUCUAACUACAAAGAAAUUGAUCUUCCAGAUUAUCAAAGCUAAAGGCGUAAUUUCUUGAUGAAUUGGCGGUUUGGUAGCUUAUUCUUGAUUUUCAGCGUGAAAAUAUACGAUCAUUUGAUGCAUCCAUGGUUUGAUAGCGUAUCAUGAUGUUAUGUUUGGAAAGAUUGUAUUUCCAUUUAAGUUUGUUUUGGAUUGUGUUGGGUUAAGUUUAUGUUGGAUUGUGUUGGAUUAAGUUUGUGUUGGAUUAAGUUUA